GGUUUUGACCCAGUAUCUCGAGGUACUACUGGCGUCCGACCUACCAGCAGUGGUUGCGUCGAAAACCUGAAUUUUUGGAUCGCCUUUCCGGGGUUAUCCGGGAAGGCAAC
rnacentral:sRNA from 1 species